CGGGGGGGCAAGCGUUGUUCGGAAUUACUGGGCGUAAAGGGUUCGUAGGUGGCCCGCUAAGUCACACGUGAAAUCCCUCAGCUUAACUGGGGAACUGCGUGUGAGACUGGCAGGCUUGAGUGCAGGAGAGGAACGCGGAAUUCCAGGUGUAGCGGUGAAAUGCGUAGAUACCUGGAGGAACACCGGUGGCGAAGGCGGCGUUCUGGACUGUAUCUGACACUGAGGAACGAAAGCCAGGGGAGCAAACGGGAUUAGAUACCCCGGUAGUCCUGGCCCUAAACGAUGAAUGCUUGGUGUGACGGGUAUCGAUCCCUGUCGUGCCGCAGUUAACGCGUUAAGCAUUCCGCCUGGGGAGUACGGUCGCAAGGCUG
rnacentral:rRNA from 1 species